CGAAGUUAGCCGGAGCUUAUUCCGCGGGUACCGUCAUUAUCGUCCCCGCCAAAAGAGCUUUACAACCCUAGGGCCUUCGUCACUCACGCGGCAUGGCUGGAUCAGGCUUGCGCCCAUUGUCCAAUAUUCCCCA
rnacentral:rRNA from 1 species